ACUUUAAAAUAAAAGGUGAAUCCCUGCUUGAGAACAGCCAGAGUCUCUGCUGCUAGCACAAGAACCUACAUAAAGAGGGAAUGAGAUUCAUCCCAAGAGUAAGUCCUGAGCUGGGGCAGCGGGGAAAUCCACACGAAAUCAAUAAGACUAGUGACUCAGACCCAAGUAAGUGACACCAUUGAGAAGCUGCUGUAACUGAGGACAGAAUUGUCACCUGCGUUUUCUUACUAUUACACCAUUUUCUUGCGGCAUUCCCUUGGCAAAUAGAGACAGCUAUAUUCUUCAACUAUGUAUUCUGUGCUCUGUUUUCUUUAACAUCAGUUCAAGUUCUUAUUCUUCCUUUUCAAUACUCUGCAGGAAUUAUCCUGUCUACAUCUUCCAAGCAGUUUUACUGUGGCACUUUCUACACUCCUAUUUUGUUGUUAGAUGCAACUAAGAGUGUCUUCAGUUUGUCAGAAGCCAGAAAAAAGACCAAGCCUGUUUGCAGAUGUAUGAAAUGUAAAUGCAACAACAAGAAGUCAAACUUAAUUUACAGCUGAUCUGAAUCACUUGGUUUGAUUUCUACAAUUCUUUUUAACCAAAGCAAAAUAAAUUUCAAGCCAAAAAAAAUCUUUCAAAUCUUAAAAAAAAAAAGGUGUUUCGUUUCAUAGUGAAAUUGCCAAAGGGGCAACUCUUCCCUCCUCCCCACUUUUUCCUCUUUUCUUUUACACUGAAUAUGCUGGAAAGACAGAUACAUAUGCUCUACUCAGAAAACAUCUAGAUCAAAACAUUUCAUCCAACUGUGACCUUUUUGAGCAUCCUGAUGAUUGGAAUGACUUCUCCAUGAUUUAUGGGCCAGCAAGGUCUCCAAUUCCUCCUUACAGAGGAAGAACUGUCUCAAAGAAAGUAUUCAUACUCUCCUGUGUAUCAAUUUGCUUUGCCCUGAUAUGUUUGGAGGAGAGGACUCAAAUGUUUUCAGUACAGCAGCUUUCAUUUUUUAUGUGCUCUUUUCUAAGUGUGUAACAGUGACAAGGGAGAGUGCUAGAAGGCUUUGCUGCAAAACACAUUUGAUAGUUUAUUCCUGUAACAUGAAGUGUUUUGAGACUGAGUUGCCUGUACAGCUCUGACCUUCAGCUCGGAAGAGGAGAUUUUCCAUCAGCCACGGGGUGUAGAGGUAUCAUGGGAGUACAGCUCUGGGAAAGUAUACCACACCGCCUCCAGCCAACAGCACUGAAGCCUUCCGUGUAACCACAGUUCCCCUCUGCAGGUCACCCGCAGCCCCGGAGCAAUCUACAGGCGACAGCACACCUAAAAACCCCACCGCCAACCGCGGGGGCAAGAGCAACUGCUGCAUCGGCAGAUAAAGACAGAGAGGCAGUCAUCACCAAAACAGAAAAAAAAAGUGCCAAGUGGAAGAACUGAUUACUUGUACCUUUCAGAACCAAAGAAACCUGAAAACUAUCCAAAGAUUUGAGACUAUCAAGUUACCUCGCAAAUGCUAUGGAAUAUAACCAGAUCACUCCACCACAGGCAUUACUGUUGUUACUACCAUCAUUUAAAGUUUUUUGCACUGUUGCAAUAGAAUAGUUUCAUCCGAGUAGAUAAGGCACUAAGAUUUGAUGUUUAAGGACUUGAACUUCAAAGAUGAACAUGAAGUUCACAUGUACCAGGAAACUACAGCAACGUAGUGCUAUUACAUCUUCUUUAAUGAAACAAUCAGUAAUGACUGUAGUUUCAACAAAUUGCCAGUCGGCCAUCAAAAUAUCUGAUUUAAAAACAUAUCUCGGCUUAAAUAGCUUGGAAGUUUUUGGAAAAAUAAAAUCUUGAAUUCCCUUUCA